rnacentral:tRNA from 1 species
GGCCUAUUGGCUCAAUGGUAGAGUGUCGGUCUCCUAAACCGAAGGUUGCGGGUUCGAGUCCCGUGUAGGUCG